AGUGGCGAACGGGUGAGUAACACGUGGGCAAUCUGCCCUCCACUCCGGGACAAGCCCUGGAAACGGGGUCUAAUACCGGAUAUCACUUCCACUCUCCUGGGUGGGGGUUGAAAGCUCCGGCGGUGGAGGAUGAGCCCGCGGCCUAUCAGCUGGUUGGUGAGGUAACGGCUCACCAAGGCGACCACGGGUAGCCGGCCUGAGAGGGCGACCGGCCACACUGGGACUGAGACACGGCCCAUACUCCUACGGGAGGCAGCAGUGGGGAAUAUUGCACAAUGGGCGCAAGCCUGAUGCAGCGACGCCGCGUGGGGGAUGACGGCCUUCGGGUUGUAAACCUCUUUCAGCAGGGAAGAAGCGAAAGUGACGGUACCUGCAGAAGAAGCGCCGGCUAACUACUUGCCAUCACCCGCGGUAAUACCUAGGGCGCAAGCGUUGUCCGGAAUUAUUGGGCGUAAAGAGCUCGUACGCGGCUUGUCACGUCGGGUGUGAAAGCCCGGGGCUUAACCCCGGGUCUGCAUUCGAUACAGGCUGGCUGGAGUGUGGUAGGGGAGAUCGGAAUUCCUGGUGUAGCGGUGAAAUGCACAAAUAUCAGGAGGCACACCGGUGGCGAAGGCGGAUCUCUGGGCCAUUACUGACCUGAGGAACGAAAGCUUGGGGAGCGAAAAAGGAUUAUAUACCCUGGGUAGUCCACGCCAUAAACGGAGAGAACUAAGUGUUGGCGACAUUCCACGUCACCCGGUGCCGCUGCUUAUCCGGUAAUUUUCCCCGGCGUGGGGAGU
rnacentral:rRNA from 1 species